GCGACGCAUGCGCCCGCCGC
rnacentral:sRNA from 1 species